CGGACGGGUGAGUAACGCGUGAGUAACCUGCCUUCAAGAGGGGGAUAACAUUCUGAAAAGAAUGCUAAUACCGCAUGACAUAUCGGAACCACAUGGUUUUGAUAUCAAAGAUUUUAUCGCUUGAAGAUGGACUCGCGUCCGAUUAGUUAGUUGGUGAGGUAACGGCUCACCAAGACCGCGAUCGGUAGCCGGACUGAGAGGUUGAACGGCCUCAUUGGGACUGAGACACGGCCCAGACUCCUACGGGAGGCAGCUG
rnacentral:rRNA from 1 species